CCUACGGGAGGCUGCAGUGGGGGAUAUUGCACAAUGGGGGGAACCCUGAUGCCGCGACGCCGCGUGGGUGAAGAAGCGCCUCGGCGCGUAAAGCCCUGUCAGCAGGGAAGAAAAUGACGGUACCUGAAGAAGAAGCCCCGGCUAACUACGUGCCAGCAGCCGCGGUAAUACGUAGGGGGCAAGCGUUAUCCGGAUUUACUGGGUGUAAAGGGGGCGCAGACGGCGAUGCAAGCCAGGAGUGAAAGCCCGGGGCCCAACCCCGGGACUGCUCUUGGAACUGCGUGGCUGGAGUGCAGGAGGGGCAGGCGGAAUGCCGGGUGUAGCGGUGGAAUGCGUAGAUAGAAGGAGGAACACCGGUGGCGAAGGCGGCCUGCUGGACUGCAACUGACGUUGAGGCCCGAAAGCGUGGGGAGCAAACAGGAUGAGAUACCCUUGUAGUC
rnacentral:rRNA from 1 species